rnacentral:rRNA from 2 species
UACGGGGGGGGCAAGCGUUGUUCGGAAUUACUGGGCGUAAAGGGCUCGUAGGUGGCCAACUAAGUCAGACGUGAAAUCCCCAGGCUUAACCUGGGAACUGCGUCUGAUACUGGAUGGCUUGAAUUCGGGAGAGGGAUGCAGAAUUCCAGGUGUAGCGGUGAAAUGCGUAGAUAUCUGGAGGAAUACCGGUGGCGAAGGCGGCAUCCUGGACCGAGAUUGACACUGAUGAGCGAAAGCCAGGGGAGCAAACGGG